UCCUCACGCUAUAUUCAGACACACGAGGAAUUUGAUUUAAUGUCAGAGAUGACGACACAUUUCAGCCAUUUUUAAUACACACACACUCUUCCCCCACAUACACGCGCACACACCGCAAAUAUAGACUCGACUGAAUGCUUAAAAACAUGCACAUAAACACACACGCACUCCUCGCUCUCUGUAUUGCAGCGGCAGGAAAUAGAGACAAGACAGAGCCCUCAGCUCGGGCGAGGGGGGGAAAAAAAGAAAGACUUCCACUGGUGGUUUCCAUGGAAACUGUCUCCCUUUCACUUCAGGGAGAGGGAAAGCGACUAGUGGAUGACUUAGGCUGACAUUUAAGGUGGCUCGUGGACAGGGUGGUAAGGAAUUUAAGGUGGUUUGAAGUAUGAAUCCAUCAGGCUUUUUCACCUCGAGGAUGAGAAGGGUCAUUUAAGCUUCCUGCAAGCUGAGUGCUAAACCAGAAAACCAAAACAUCUUGAAUUUUGCAAAAACCGGCAGAGGGAGCUCACAACAACAUGUUGUACAAGAGAGAGGAGAGAUAAAUCAGCGAAGG